UUUUUUCUGUUUUCAUUCGUUUUCAGAGAGAAGGGGGCUGGGGCUGGGGCUUCGACCGCGGUGGAGAAGGGGGCUGGGGCUUCGACCGUCGUUGGGGUUGGGGUGGCGAUUCGUGGGUGCCGUGGGUUGAGCGGGGGUUGGGGUUUUCGUGGGUGUCGUGGGUUGAGCGUGGGUGAGGGUUGUCGGGGUUGGGGUUUUCGUGGGUGAGGGUGGUGGGUGCAGAUAAAGUCGGCUGAGAGUUUGAGGGAAGAGAGAGAAAGGGUUUGAGUUAUGAGGGGGGGGGGGAUAUUUUUGGGAUUUUCAAAAAAUUGUCAUAUUUUUUGUAGUGUAAAAUGUAUUGGUUUAAAUUUUUUUUUUUAAAUUUUUUAAGUAUAGAAAAUCAAAUUUCCCUUUUUAUUAUGAUCUAUCAUGGUGUAUAUACUGAUGUAAAUAUUGUCAUAUUUUUUGUAGUGUAAAAUGUAUUGGUUUAAAUUUUUUUUUUUUAAAUUUUUUAAGUAUAGAAAAUCAAAUUUCUCUUUUUAUUAUGAUCUAUCAUGGUGUAUAUACUGAUGUAAAUAUCAUUAUAUGUAUUUUCGUUUAUGGUCUAAGGGAUAUAUAAUGGAUCAAAAAGAUAUUCUUGUGUAAAUAUGUAUUAUAUAUAGAUAGAUAGAUACUCUCUCAUCGGAACUCCAUAAAAAUUGAUAAUGUUGAUGUUCGAUGUUGGUUCAAUAAUGUUGAUAUUCGAUGUUGUUGUUUCUUCUACAAGGUAAGACGACUUUUGGACCAAUGGACAUAUUGUUCCAAGCAUCACAAAAGUAAAAUUUUUUAUCUAUUAUUUUAAUGAGGCUAGAGCAUUACUUCAUGCUAAGUAGUGUCAAACUAUUCGCCAAUUUCUUUUUAUUGAAAAUUUGUCAAUUUUUAUUUAAUAUAAUAGAUCAUAGUUGAUAUAAUAAUCUUUCCCUUUUGAUUGUGUAAAGACCGCAUAUGAUUAAUAUUUUGAAUUAUUAAAUAAUUAGGGUUUAUGUAUGAGAUUUUAUUAUUAUCAAUAAUAUUAUGAUUAUGGAAAUUUAUUUGAGUGCAUAUAUAUUUAUUAUGCUGUCUAUGUAAUUUCUCAAUUUCUGUGAUUGUGUUCGGAAGCUGUGGAAAGCGACGUUGGGCCAUAGAGAGUCGCAUUUUAUAAUUUAGAAUUUAUUCGGGAAAUCAUUGCUAAGUUUUAGCGGAGUUGGUAUUUUCGGGGUGUGGUAAAUGACCAAUUUGCCCUUGGGAGUUGGUGACUAGCUUUAUUAGUUAGAAGGGUAAUUAGGUCUUUUCUUUUUAAAACCCUUGUUUUGGCUUUUAGUGUUUAAUGGCUGCCUUUUUAUUUUGUUGACUUUGAUUUUAAAAUUAAUUAAUUAAGAAAAGAAAGAAAUCAAGGAAGAUAAGUUAGAAGAAGCUUAGUAGUGAAGUUUCUAUCUUCAUCUCACUUUCCCUCUCUCUUUCGAUCCAUCAACCAGCAAGGAAGGAGAUUAUUUCUUGCUGAAAUCUUUGAAUUCUAAUUGAGUUUGAAGUUCCAAUUCAAGGGCCCUGUAAAACGUCGAGCUGCACUUCCACUCAGGCUGACCGGCACACUUGAGCAAAGAACGAGGUAAAGGAAAAGCAAAGCUGGAGGAACAGUGAGGUGGAACUCGGCAUGAUUGUACAUAUCGCGGCAGUGCAACCCGGAGGGUUUCGAUCUUAUAUUAUUUUGAGUCUGUAUUUUGGAAAUGCAUGUCCGCUAAACUUUUAAAAAAAAAAAUAUAUGUAUAUGUACAUAUUAGUAAAAUAUUUUAAACUAGUAUUUUGAUACUCGGGAUCCCGAUCCGCAUGUUUAUUAAUAUACAAAUUAUUAAAAUAAAUUUCCGAGUUUAUUAUUAUAAAAUGCGGGCGUUACAGUUUGGUAUCAGAGCCACCGGGUUGUUCACUGAUGACCGUCAAGAUAUGUACAAUCAAGGCCAGUGUCGAGUUCAACUCACGGUUCCGUAAGCUUUAUUUCUUUUUGCAAAUUGUUUUAAGAUAUGUGGUGUUGUGUAUAUGAUUAAAUAAAUAUUAAUUGCGGUCCUGAAAUAUUUGACCACUGUCUGACCUACGUGCCUUGUGGGUUCGCAGGCUAAGUCCUAAAUAAUGGACGACCAGCGAAACGUUAGAAGGCAGGGUGAAUUGGUUGAGACUGGAGGUGGUCGGGGUGGUAGAAAUCCCCAAAACCCCCGUGGACGCGGUAGAGGCCGCGGUCGAAUUCCGAGAGGUGGACAGGAGAAUCCACCUCAGGCCCCUGUUGAUUGGGAACAAAGGUUUGCUGAAAUGCAAACUAGAAUUGAGCAACAAGGAGAAGAGAUCCGGCGACUCAGACAACGGGAUGCCCCUGUUGAGCCUCCCCUGCAACCGGCCGUUGCAGUUCCUGCAGUCCCUGCGGUGCCAGCUGAGCAACAUGUUGCUGGUAACCGCAUGGAGCCUUUGUAUGAGAGGUUCAGAAAACAAGCGC